UUGCAAGUCGAGCGGUAGCACAGAGAGCUUGCUCUCGGGUGACGAGCGGCGGACGGGUGAGUAAUGUCUGGGAAACUGCCUGAUGGAGGGGGAUAACUACUGGAAACGGUAGCUAAUACCGCAUAACGUCGCAAGACCAAAGUGGGGGACCUUCGGGCCUCAUGCCAUCAGAUGUGCCCAGAUGGGAUUAGCUAGUAGGUGGGGUAACGGCUCACCUAGGCGACGAUCCCUAGCUGGUCUGAGAGGAUGACCAGCCACACUGGAACUGAGACACGGUCCAGACUCCUACGGGAGGCAGCAGUGGGGAAUAUUGCACAAUGGGCGCAAGCCUGAUGCAGCCAUGCCGCGUGUGUGAAGAAGGCCUUCGGGUUGUAAAGCACUUUCAGCGGGGAGGAAGGCGAUAAGGUUAAUAACCUUGUCGAUUGACGUUACCCGCAGAAGAAGCACCGGCUAACUCCGUGCCAGCAGCCGCGGUAAUACGGAGGGUGCAAGCGUUAAUCGGAAUUACUGGGCGUAAAGCGCACGCAGGCGGUCUGUCAAGUCGGAUGUGAAAUCCCCGGGCUCAACCUGGGAACUGCAUUCGAAACUGGCAGGCUAGAGUCUUGUAGAGGGGGGUAGAAUUCCAGGUGUAGCGGUGAAAUGCGUAGAGAUCUGGAGGAAUACCGGUGGCGAAGGCGGCCCCCUGGACAAAGACUGACGCUCAGGUGCGAAAGCGUGGGGAGCAAACAGGAUUAGAUACCCUGGUAGUCCACGCCGUAAACGAUGUCGAUUUGGAGGUUGUGCCCUUGAGGCGUGGCUUCCGGAGCUAACGCGUUAAAUCGACCGCCUGGGGAGUACGGCCGCAAGGUUAAAACUCAAAUGAAUUGACGGGGGCCCGCACAAGCGGUGGAGCAUGUGGUUUAAUUCGAUGCAACGCGAAGAACCUUACCUGGUCUUGACAUCCACAGAACUUAGCAGAGAUGGUUUGGUGCCUUCGGGAACUGUGAGACAGGUGCUGCAUGGCUGUCGUCAGCUCGUGUUGUGAAAUGUUGGGUUAAGUCCCGCAACGAGCGCAACCCUUAUCCUUUGUUGCCAGCGGUUAGGCCGGGAACUCAAAGGAGACUGCCAGUGAUAAACUGGAGGAAGGUGGGGAUGACGUCAAGUCAUCAUGGCCCUUACGACCAGGGCUACACACGUGCUACAAUGGCAUAUACAAAGAGAAGCGACCUCGCGAGAGCAAGCGGACCUCAUAAAGUAUGUCGUAGUCCGGAUUGGAGUCUGCAACUCGACUCCAUGAAGUCGGAAUCGCUAGUAAUCGUAGAUCAGAAUGCUACGGUGAAUACGUUCCCGGGCCUUGUACACACCGCCCGUCACACCAUGGGAGUGGGUUGCUAAAAGAAGUAGGUAGCUUAACCUUCGGGAGGGC
rnacentral:rRNA from 1 species